AGCAGAGGAGCGGUACGGCCUCGGAGUUUGAAGGCGGGAGUUCAAGCCGGCGAUUUGUGGUUUCCCCCUGGCUUCAUUUCUCUAUCCACCCAGCCACACCUGCGGGUGGGAAAAGUACCCCCGUUGCUCCUAACUUUAGGGUGAUGGCAGCAACCUUGCUCUAUGCACAAAAGUGGAAGGAUGCCUCAAUUCCUACCAUGGAUGAAUGGUUACAAAAAUGAUGAAUUGACUGUGCUGAUAAAAGAAAAGAACAUAAGUACUUUUGUUUCUACUUGGAAACUGCUUCUGGACUUUGUGCUUAAGGUGGAAAAAAAA